rnacentral:rRNA from 2 species
UUUGGUGAUGAUGGCAGAGAGGUCACACCCGUUCCCAUACCGAACACGGAAGUUAAGCUCUCUAGCGCCGAUGGUAGUUGGGACCUUGU